GAGAUAUUAGUAUAUUGUAGUAUUUUUUAUUUUCGAUAAAGGGGUUUAAUAUCUUG
rnacentral:tRNA from 1 species